ensembl:snRNA RNU7-174P RNA, U7 small nuclear 174 pseudogene
AAGUGUUACAGCUCUUUUAGAAUUCGUCUAGUAGGUUUUCCAGUGACCAGAAAAUCCUC